rnacentral:rRNA from 1 species
AUUGAACGCUGGCGGCAGGCCUAACACAUGCAAGUCGAGCGAGCGGCGGACGGGUGAGUACUGUAUGGGGAUCUGCCCGAUAGAGGGGGAUAACUACUGGAAACGUUGGCUAAUACCGCAUACUAUCGGAUGUACCCAUAUGGGUUUAGCUCGUAGGUGGGGUAAAGGCUCACCUAGGCGACGAUCUCUAGCUGGUCUGAGAGGAUGACCAGGCAGCCUGGAACUGAGAAAAGGCCCAGACUCCGACGGGAGGCAGCAGUGGGGAAUAUUGCACAAUGGGAGCAAGCCUGAUGCAGCCAUGCUGCGUGUAUGAAGAAGGCCUUAGGGUUGUAAAGUACUUUCAGCGGGGAGGCGUUACCCGCAGAAGAAGCACCGGCUAACUCAGUGCCAGCAGCCGCGGUAAUAC